rnacentral:rRNA from 1 species
UACGUAGGGGGCAAGCGUUGUCCGGAUUUAUUGGGCGUAAAGAGCGUGUAGGCGGCCAUACAGGUCAGCUGUGAAAACUCGAGGCUCAACCUCGAGACGUCGGUUGAAACCGUAUGGCUAGAGUCCGGAAGAGGAGAGUGGAAUUCCCGGCGUAGCGGUGAAAUGCGCAGAUAUCGGGAAGAACACCCGUGGCGAAGGCGGGUCUCUGGGCCGAUACUGACGCUGAGGAGCGAAAGCGUGGGGAGCGAACAGG